rnacentral:rRNA from 1 species
AUUGAACGCUGGCGGCAGGCCUAACACAUGCAAGUCGAGCGAGCGGCGGACGGGUGAGUAAUGUCUGUGAACCUGCCUGAUGGAGGGGGAUAACUACUGGAAACGGUAGCUACUACCGCAUACCAUCAGAUGUGCGCAGAUGGGGUUAGCUAGUGGGUGGGGUAAUGGCCCACCUAGGCGACGCUCCCUAGCUGGUCUGAGAGGAUGACCAGCCACACUGGAACUGAGACACGGCCCAGACUCCUACGGGAGGAAGCAGUGGGGAAUAUUGCACAAUGGGCGAAAGCCUGAUGCAGCCAUGCCGCGUGUGUGAAGAAGGCCUUCGGGUUGUAAAGCACUUUCAGCGGGGAGGCGUUACCCGCAGAAGAAGCACCGGCUAACUCCGUGCCAGCAGCCGCGGUAAUAC